rnacentral:rRNA from 1 species
GUGGGGAAUCUUAGACAAUGGGGGAAACCCUGAUCUAGCCAUGCCGCGUGAGCGAUGAAGGCCUUAGGGUUGUAAAGCUCUUUCAGCUGGGAAGAUAAUGACGGUACCAGCAGAAGAAGCCCCGGCUAACUCCGUGCCAGCAGCCGCGGUAAUACGGAGGGGGCUAGCGUUGUUCGGAAUUACUGGGCGUAAAGCGCGCGUAGGCGGGCCAGAAAGUUGGAGGUGAAAUCCCAGGGCUCAACCUUGGAACUGCCUUCAAAACUCCUGGUCUGGAGUUCGAGAGAGGUGAGUGGAAUUCCGAGUGUAGAGGUGAAAUUCGUAGAUAUUCGGAGGAACACCAGUGGCGAAGGCGGCUCACUGGCUCGAUACUGACGCUGAGGUGCGAAAGCGUGGGGAGCAAACAGGAUUAGAAACCCUUGUAGUCC